rnacentral:tmRNA from 1 species
CCGCUUGGCGUCAGCCCCGCGAAAGCCUAUAUGGAAAGGGUCGAGGGCAACCGAGACUAUGGUGAUAAGCGGCAGUUGGAAUAAGCGUUGUGGACCCGGGGGCAGUGCCCGGCGCCUCCACCAUUUCUCCCGGAGUUGACCGGGCGAUGGGGGCGAAACAGUUUCGACACGCGUGGUAAAGACCUGCCUUUUGCCCGGCAUGAUACCGCCGUCAUCGGGUCAAAUCACAAGUGCCAACGACAACAACGCUAUGGCGCUCGCUGCCUAAUUGACUUAGGCAAGCGCGGUUCGGGGGGCACCGGGCAACAGAAGCCCCCCACU